AUUCUGAUUUUUUUUAAUCCUUGCUUUUUAAACAGCAAAAUUUUAUCCUCCCAAAAAUAUUUUCUAUCUUAAAAAAAUAUGUGUUUUUAAUUUCGAGACUCAAAAUUUUGAUGGGUCAGUGCUGACGACACCGAGGCCCCAGAGGAUGAUGUGGAGAUGAUGAUGAGGAGGAAGCUGGUUUGGAGGUCACCAGCGGUGCUCUCUGGCAGGACCAACUACCUACUGAGGUUUCUGCCCUGCGGGAGGUACCACCUGACCAUGAUCACUUUUAACAGCAUCCGUCCACAGCCAACCCUGUAAACCCUGAAGAUGGACGAUGCAGUCUACAGUGAAGAUGAUCCUGAAACUCUUCAGACCAUCCUGCAAGAUGUCCCAAUCACCACCCAGAAAGUUCCAUCCCCGCGUCUCAGUUGAAGCAUCUCAUCCAUGUCGACCAUCUUUGUAAAUAGUGUUACAAUGAAUGACGAUUGCUGUGUUGGAUUUAUACCUUUAUUUAUAUUAAAAAAGCAAACAUUUUAAUGAAUCAAAUAUAAACUUCAUUUAUUGUCAGAAAUCAAAUGUGGUUAUUUGUUGGCAUUUCUUUCCAGGAGACUAUAAAGUUGGUCAAAAGUCUCCCUCCUCUCUCGUGCCCUCUGCUCUUCUGCCUCAUGUCCUCUCUGAUCAGGUCUAGAAGCUCAUCAAAGUCGCGUUUACAUUAACUCUGAAAUUUUGCAAAUUGGAAUUUUGAUACAUUCUCCUAAUGGAAACACCACAAUUCCGAAAAAAAAA